AGACUGCCGGUGGACAAACCGGAGGAAGGUGGGGAGUGACGUCAAGUCAUCAUGGCCCUUACGGCCUGGGCUACACACGUGCUACAAUGGUCGGUACAAAGGGUUGCCAAGCCGCGAGGUGGAGCUAAUCCCAUAAAACCGAUCGUAGUCCGGAUCGCAGUCUGCAACUCGACUGCGUGAAGUCGGAAUCGCUAGUAAUCGUGAAUCAGAAUGUCACGGUGAAUACGUUCCCGGGCCUU
rnacentral:rRNA from 1 species